AACUUUCAUCUGAAUGUGGAUUGUGCUGAUGCAGAUCAGCUUUUCAUCUCGCAAUGUUCUGAUUCCAAGGUUCCAAUUCUAAUUCUGUAACCAGUGAUAUAUACAGGAUGCAGUGAACCUGACAGAAACCUGCAGUUCAGGAUCAGUCUCUGUGAAAUGCUUUAAAAACAGCUAUAAAUCCUGCGCAUGUCCAAAAUGCACACGUCCAGCAUAAAGAACCGUUUAUUUUCCUGGAAAAAACCCACCUCCCAGGCUUUAUAGAGAGAGAGAGAGAGAGAGAGAGAGAUGUAUGUUUAUACAGAUAAACAUUAAUUACUUUCCUCAACAAAACGCUGGAAAGAGAGAAUUAAGGAUGAAGAUUUCUAACAAGUUAGAUGAAUAAAUAUUUGAUUCAAAGAGAGGUGUAGAAAGGAACUAUUUCUCACUGUUCUCUAAGAAUCAUGACCACAUGUCUUGAAAUUAUUUAUUGUGUUGUGGAUAAAAAAUGUCAUAAAAUAAACAUAAGGGAGACCUAGCAUCCAGCAAAGGGGAGAGGAAGGACUGACGACGGGCACCUAGACACAUAGAAGCGGGAUUAGGCAGACAUUGACAAAUUGGAAUUACACUUUAAAGAUCUUUAAGAGCAGUAGUAGUCAAAAAGAGAUAUACGAGCUGAGCUGAGGAGUGCUAAUACACACACACACGCUCGUACAGUCAAGGGUGGGCAAGUAGACAUAACACACACACUCUCCCUCUCACACACUUACUACAAUAACUUUAUAAGAAUAAUAAAAAGGAAUAUUAAGAU